rnacentral:rRNA from 1 species
UGGGGAAUUUUGCGCAAUGGGGGAAACCCUGACGCAGCAACGCCGCGUGGGUGAUGAAGGCCUUCGGGUCGUAAAGCUCUGUCUGGAGGGAAGAAAUGAUUGGGAGCUAAUACCUCCUGAUCUUGACGGUACCUCUGAAGGAAGCACCGGCUAACUCCGUGCCAGCAGCCGCGGUAAUACGGAGGGUGCAAGCGUUGUUCGGAAUUAUUGGGCGUAAAGCGCGUGUAGGCGGUCUUUUAAGUCUGAUGUGAAAGCCCCGGGCUCAACCUGGGAAGUGCAUUGGAAACUGGGAUGCUUGAGUACGGGAGAGGAGAGUGGAAUUCCUAGGGUAGGAGUGAAAUCCGUAGAUAUUAGGAGGAACACCGGUGGCGAAGGCGGCUCUCUGGACCGAUACUGACGCUGAGACGCGAAAGCGUGGGUAGCAAACA